rnacentral:rRNA from 1 species
CGCACGGGUGAGUAACACGUAUGGAACCUGCCCUAUGCAGGGGGAUAAGCGGAAGAAAUUCCGUCUAAUACCGCAUAACACCAUUUGGAGGCAUCUCCAGGUGGUCAAAGGAGGCGACUCCGGCAUAGGAUGGCCAUGCGUCGCAUUAGCUAGUCGGCGGGGUAACGGCCCACCGAGGCGACGAUGCGUAGGGGUUCUGAGAGGAAGGUCCCCCACACUGGUACUGAGACACGGACCAGACUCCUACGGGAGGCAGCAG